AAAGAUUUAUCGGUGUAAGAUGGACCCGCGUCUGAUUAGCCAGUUGGUGGGGUAACGGCCUACCAAAGCGACGAUCAGUAGCCGACCUGAGAGGGUGACCGGCCACAUUGGGACUGAGACACGGCCCAAACUCCUACGGGAGGCAGCAGUGGGGAAUAUUGGACAAUGGCUGAAAGCCUGAUCCAGCGACGCCGCGUGGGCGAUGAAGUAUUUCGGUAUGUAAAGCUCUAUCAGCAGGGAAGAAAAUGACGGUACCUGACUAAGAAGCCCCGGCUAACUACGUGCCAGCAGCCGCGGUAAUACGUAGGGGGCAAGCGUUAUCCGGAUUUACUGGGUGUAAAGGGAGCGUAGACGGAAGUGCAAGUCAGAAGUGAAAGCCCGGGGCUUAACCCCGGGACUGCUUUUGAAACUGUGCAUCUAGAGUGCAGGAGAGGUAAGCGGAAUUCCUAGUGUAGCGGUGAAAUGCGUGGAUAUUAGGAGGAACACCGGUGGCGAAGGCGGCUUACUGGACUGUAACUGACGUUGAGGCUCGAAAGCGUGGGGAGCAAACAGGAUUAGAUACCCUGGUAGUCCACGCCGUAAACGAUGAA
rnacentral:rRNA from 1 species